rnacentral:rRNA from 1 species
UUCUCCUGGAAAACGGGUGGUAAUGCCGGAUGCUCCGACUCCUCGCAUGGGGUGUCGGGAAAGAUUUCAUCGGUAUGGGAUGGGGUCGCGUCCUAUCAGGUAGUCGGCGGGGUAACGGCCCACCGAGCCUACGACGGGUAGCCGGCCUGAGAGGGCGACCGGCCACAUUGGGACUGAGAUACGGCCCAGACUCCUACGGGAGGCAGCAGUGGGGAAUAUUGCACAAUGGGCGCAAGCCUGAUGCAGCGACGCCGCGUGCGGGAUGACGGCCUUCGGGUUGUAAACCGCUUUUGAUCGGGAGCAAGCCUUCGGGUGAGUGUACCUUUCGAAUAAGCACCGGCUAACUACGUGCCAGCAGCCGCGGUAAUACGUAGGGUGCAAGCGUUAUCCGGAAUUAUUGGGCGUAAAGGGCUCGUAGGCGGUUCGUCGCGUCCGGUGUGAAAGUCCAUCGCUUAACGGUGGAUCUGCGCCGGGUACGGGCGGGCUGGAGUGCGGUAGGGGAGACUGGAAUUCCCGGUGUAACGGUGGAAUGUGUAGAUAUCGGGAAAGAACACCA